AUCACUGGGAAGAUUGGUCUCCCAACUUUCGAGUCCCAAAGGCUAGCGAUUGACUCUCCUUUGGACUUGAAUACGCCUGCUAGAAUGCAGACGACGAUGAAGGCAUCCAAUUCCACAGAUUCCCCCCUGCCCUUGCCUCCCCGUAGGCAGUAAUUUAAGGCAGUAAUUGCUCUGGGAGCCUGCCUGUCUGGGUGGUCAGGUCGGCUUGGUCUCUUAUCUUUUGUUAGUGACCAAAUGGUGACAUAGCAACAGGUACUAAAAAUAGCUUCACAGCAAGGAAGGACCAGACACAGUUACUGAGCAGAAAAACGGCAUAAAGCAACAGAGGUUGCUUCCAGAGGAAGUUCAGAUGGAGAAUGUGCCACCAGCACCCUGCAUUAUUGUUUGUGGUCCUCCUGCUUCGCUGCUGAGAUAUUCAUAUUAAGCCUUGACCAAAAGGUUGUCAACGACCACAUAACAACCUUCACCUCUGCAAUUUGUCUGAUGUUUGGCAGUUACUACUACUUCAACAUACACUACCCAGUGGAACUAUGAUCAACACUGGAGUUCCUCCAAAGAUGUUUCUUUUCCAUAAAUCCUGAGAGAGGCACCAAGGUUGAGUCCAAGAAGAAAAAGCUGUUGUCAGUCAACCCCAGAGUCCACACUCUCAUCUCAGACAUUGCAGACCAUGAGUGGACCUAGACAUUGCCUAAAUGUUUGACUAUGAUGUGAUAAGGUUUGCUGUGUUACAUACACUACAGAUGUUUUGUUUUAAAAUUAUACCAAGAGUAAAAUUUCUGAAAGUCAGUGACAGUAACAGUGACAACAUGUUCAGCUUUAUUGCACUGUUUUGUUCCAGAAAGAAAUAGGUAAAACCUAGUUCCAGGGUUCCUUGCAUUUGAUUUAGAGAUAUUGUUUUUUGAGGUUUAUGAUGCAAGACUUCUAACCUUUGCUCCCCUUUAGAAUUGUUGUAUUUAAAUGACGUGAUAAAGAUAUGAUGUAUGUAUAUUACUUGUAUUUUAGUUUUAUUUUGAGUUAGAAUCAACCAAAAAUUCCAUUUUGAAGCUCAGAACAAGUUUAUUUCGUUGUCUGAGGCCAGUUUGAAGAAGUACAUAAUGUUUCUUUGAUUCUUUUCUCGUUGAGUAUUUGUAAAAUAUAUGAAGUAAAAAUUCAAAUAUUUGAUGUUUACAACCUCACAGAUGUUACAUAACAUACUUUGUUAUAAAAGACUAAGUUGGAUAUUUUUAUGGUAUUUGAAAAUUUCAGUUAAUUUGUGUGUUAAGAUUGAAAAACAGAAUGAAUGACUAAAAACACUAGUCUGGGAAAGGUUCUAUAUCACCUGAUAACAGCAAUUGAAGUGUUAAGCUGGCUAAUUAUUUUAUUUAUAUUUAAAAAUGUUUUAAUGCAUGGAAUUAUGUUGUAGUUGAUCAUUUAUGCUC